rnacentral:rRNA from 1 species
AAAUCAGGUAGGACUACCCGCUGAACUUAAGCAUAUCAAUAAGCGGAGGAAGGAUCAUUAUUGAAUUUUAUUAAUGAGGAGUUGAGUUGUUGCUGGC